rnacentral:rRNA from 1 species
UACGAAGGGGGCUAGCGUUGCUCGGAAUUACUGGGCGUAAAGGGCGCGUAGGCGGCUGUAUCAGUCAGGCGUGAAAUUCCUGGGCUCAACCUGGGGGCUGCGCUUGAUACGGUACGGCUAGAGGACGGAAGAGGCUUGCGGAAUUCCCAGUGUAGAGGUGAAAUUCGUAGAUAUUGGGAAGAACACCGGUGGCGAAGGCGGCAAGCUGGUCCGUUACUGACGCUGAGGCGCGACAGCGUGGGGAGCAAACAGG